AUGAGUCCCACACCCACCCCUCCCCGAAAGGCUGGGCAAGGCAUCCCUGUGUCAUUCUAAAGCUGCUGCCUCAGGCCAGAUCACUUGAAUGGACAUAUCAAGCAGGUGCACACGUCUGAGCGCCCUCACAAAUGUCAGGUGUGGGUUGGGAGCAGCAGCGGCCUGCCGCCCCUGGAACCUCUUCCUAGCGACCUGCCAUCAUGGGACUUUGCCCAGCCUGCUUUGUGGAGGUCGUCCCAUUCAGUUCCUGAUACCGCCUUUUCCCUCUCUCUAAAAAAGUCCUUCCCAGCCCUUGAAAACCUGAGUCCAGCACACUCCAGCAAUACGCUCUUCUGCUCAGCUCCACCAGGAUACCUGAGACAGGGUUGGACAACCCCUGAGGGCAGCCGGGCUUUUACUCAGUGGCCUGUGGGCUAGCCUGGGUCCUUCUGGAGAGGUGGAGGCGAAUGGUGGCUGACUGGAGAGCCCUGCUUUGGCAGAGGCUAGCUAGCGAGACUGUUCCUGCCCACCACUCCCAGAUCCUCCCAAGAUGUCCGAACAUUUUUUUCCAGCUCAAAGCUCUCACAUAGCAAUAGGAAGGCCCACCUUUCUGAAGGUCCCCCUCCCCUGGUGGGCUCCAUGUUCCUUUCUGAAUGCUUGUCUCCCCUACCUCAACGGGGCAGCCAACCUUGUCUGGGGAUUUAGAAGUUGGGAGUUGUAGGGCAUUAAGCCCCAGCUUCUGUGACCCUUCCUCUGGCCUCACUUUUUCACACUCACUGGGACUCCUGGUCAUCCUCCUCCUAUGGGGGUGUCACCCCAUUUCCAGAGAAGCCUCCAGCACAGCGUCAGCUGGGUUUGGCUGUGCUGCUGAACUCUCCACCUCACAAGGGCCUGCUUUCAGUUCUGGCUCCUGAGUUCUCGUGUCUGAGGGGUUUUAGCUGGUCUGCUCUACACUAACCAGUAGUAGCCUUUGUACUGUGAUAGAUGGCUUUAGGGGCUGACAGAGCAGGUAGACCCUCCCUUCCCCAGGGCCCCUUGGUGUGUCCCUUAGCCCCUGGAGAUCAGGAUCGAUGAUAAAAGUUUUCAUUCUAACAUU
rnacentral:lncRNA from 1 species